ACCUACGGGGCGCAGCAGUGGGGAAUAUUGCACAAUGGGGGGAACCCUGAUGCAGCGACGCCGCGUGGGCGAUGGAGCGCCUCGGCGCGUAAAGCCCUAUCAGCAGGGAAGAAGAUGACGGUACCUGACUAAGAAGCCCCGGCUAAAUACGAGCCAGCAGCCGCGGUAAUACGUAUGGGGCAAGCGUUAUCCGGAUUUACUGGGUGUAAAGGGAGCGCAGGCGGCCUGGCAAGCCUGAUGUGAAAUACCGGGGCCCAACCCCUGGGCUGCAAUGGGAACUGCCAGGCUGGAGCGCCGGAGAGGCG
rnacentral:rRNA from 1 species